rnacentral:misc_RNA from 1 species
AAAACUUUCUUUGAUAUUAUUUUCAAAUUUAUUAAUUAUUUUACUAAAAAUGAUUCUGAAAAUAACUAAACAUUAGGAAAAAGGGGAAAAAAUAAUUAAAAAAAAAGAGAAUAACCUAUAGAUUGGGCAAACUAAUGCCUCAUACUAUAAAUUUCAUAAACAACGAAGCAUUGACCAUAAUUUUCUUCAAUAAAUGAGCCAAAACAUCAACAACAAAGACAAAUAAUUCAACCUUUGCAUAACAUGGAUGUAUACUGAUUAAUUGCUCUCCUUCAGUUUAAAUAAACCUUCACUAAUUGAUG